GUAUGCCAGCUGUUGUACUGGUACGACUGUACUUUUCAAGAUACUAUACUGAUGCAUGUGACGCAGUGCCUGGUACACUGGAGGACCUGGGAAAGGUGGUCUUGAGCGGGUUUCUAAGAACUGACGGUCAAGUAAUUACCACCUAAGGUCUCGCUGACAUAUUUCAACCCUCCUUACUCUUCUCAUCACCCAGGCCAGGCAGGGUCACUGUAUAUGUGCUAGCUUGUUUCCAAAGAUGGCUGCCGUCAUCAAUGCAUUCCCCUCUGUUCUGGAAGCAGCUCAUACCAACUCUCCAGAGCCGAUAGCGGGCAUUUCCUCCCAGCUCUGUGUUAAGUGACAUCAUAUUGAUAGCUUGAGAUCAGCCACGGUGGUAAAUAUUAUCGAUCAGGGCUUUUCUUUCCCCAGACAUCUGGUUAUUCAACAUUUACCAGUGUACCACUGUGUAUAUAUACGCCCACGGCCAACUUCAUGGACGAGCAAUCUUAAUAAUUUUAUGUUUGAGAUUGUGUUUUGUCAGUGAAGUCUGAUGGGCCGAUAGAACAUCACGUGACGAGAGGAAAUACAUACAAGAUAUGUGUCCACCAUUUCUUAUUGCCCCGUUAGCCUUGGGGUUCACGAUGCCCCAUGAGCACAGAAUUCUGGGGAACCCACAAGGCAUGGGAGUUCAGUGAGACUCAAGGCGAAUGCAAAGUGAGUAUGUGAUAUCUACAGCUGAGUAAGCGGGGGAGCUGACAGCCCUAAGAGGCCAUGCUUUCCAUUUGAAACAGUCUUUGCUCCAGAUGCAGAAAGAAAGUCCUGGCGUUUGAAGAAACACAAACGACCAAGGAGCCCUAUCAUAUUCCUUCUUGCGUCACUUCCGUGUCAGCCAACCACUCACAAUGAAAAUGGUGAUGUACGUAGAAGAAAAGGGAAAGACAAGGCACCUCGGAGUUCCUUUUCUUUCACUCCUUCCCCUUCCUUGUUUAUCAGUGAGCAGAAGGUAGAGUGCUGGCAGAAUGCGCGCGUAUCAAGUAAAACAGUUGAGUUCGUUUUGUGCAGCGUUUCCUCUGCUCUGCUAAGAACGAAAUACAUAUGGGUGUACAAGCUUCGAAACACAAAUUGUGUAAUUUCACCGAUUCUGCAUGAGUCCAAUGCUCUUACAUUUGCACGUAAAACUGACAUUGCACAAGAUAUAGAUAAAUGGUAAAUUCAUGUUAAUAAUUUAAAUUUUUCUUUACUUAGAACUACAUUAAAUAGAAAAUUUUAAAACACCAUGACAGGUCAAGGGAAAGACCCUGAGAGAAAGGAGAAAAGCUUUAUAUUUAAGUAUCGGUAACAGCACUUUUUCCUGGUUUUUCGAACAAGGGGCCCUACGUUUUUAUUUUGCGCUCGGCUCCACAAAUUGCGGAGUGGAGCCGGCCAUGUCCAUUCCAUUCCCCACUGAGGGGCUGAGUCUAUUCCUUCACCUCCUGAAUCUAGGUGACCUGUGACUGCUUUGACCAGUAGAGUUCCAUAGACGUGAGCUUUGCUGGUUGUACCCUUUACCUUUAACAGAACUGGAGGUUUCCACUUCCUGCCUCUUAGAGCCCUGAGCCACCGGGAAAGAAGUCCAGGCUACUCUGCUAGAGAGAGACGUCAUGUGCGAGAGUACUGGGGCACCAGACGCAUGAAUGCAGAAGACACCUUGAAGGUUCAGUGCAGUCGAGCCUUCAGAUGACCCCAGCCCCAGCUGCAUUCUAAAUGCAACCUUGUGAGAGACCCCAGGCAAAAACCACCACAGGAUCAUGAGCGAUAAUAAUAAACUGUUGUUUAA